rnacentral:rRNA from 1 species
CCCCACUAUGCCUGGCCGUUAACCCAAGCAGCUAUAAUAAAACUCAAACUGCUCGCCAGAGAAUUACAAGCGAAAAGCUUGAAACUCAAAAAACUUGACGGUGUUCCAUAUCAACCUAGAGGAGCCUGUCCUAUAACCGACACCCCACGAUAAACCUAACCCCCACUUGCAAUAAUACAGCCUAUAUACCGCCGUCGUCAGCCUACCUUAUGACAGAUACAUAGUAGACAAGAUAGUAUUACACACUAAAACGCCAGGUCAAGGUGUAGCUAAUGCGGGGGCAAGAGAUGGGCUACAUUCUCUAACACUAGAGCAUCACUAUAAGCAACAUGAAAUUCAUGCCAAAAGGU